rnacentral:lncRNA from 1 species
UUAUCUCUUCAAUUUAUUUAUUUAUUUGAGAGCUGAUAUUCAAUUAAAAUAAAUAGGUGUAAAAUAUUACAUCCCCAAUGGGGCAGAUUCGAUUGAGACUUCAAAUAAAAAUCCUAGUAUUAUAAUAGUCCAGAGUUUUAUAUCAACGAAACCAGUUGCCCAUGUUAGUAGCCCAUUGGAUAUAAUCACGAAGAGGCCCAUCAAAACCCAAUCAAGUAGAGGAAAAGUCAAUUCUGGAAAAUACAUGCAGACUUUGGUUUUGUCGAAGAUUGACAAAGAUCCGAGAGAUGGAGUGCACGAAAGAAAUCAUCUGCUAAAUUGGCAAACCAGGAAGCAUCAGGAGGCAAAGUACCAAACUUGCAUCAACUAAGAGGAGAAUUAAGAUUUUUUUCCGAAGACCUGAGAUUUUAUUCCUGAUAGUAGAAUCAAUUAAUUGCAAGACAUGAGAGAAUUAAGAACAAAGUCUAGAUAUGGCAUUGCCAGCUAAGGAGGAGUAAACGUCUAUGAAAUGAAGAACCUCACCAAUUAAUGAGAGUGUUAAGAACAGAGUCCCAGUCUCUCCAGUUUUCUUAAAGUUAUCUAAUCUCUCUUUCUUCUCGGCUUUUGAGGGAGAAUAAAAAUGGCUUCAGGAUUCUCCGGCGACGGUGGUGGGAUGGAUUUUUACAGCGGUGCUGGUAGAUCUAUCCUUAGCAAUACCAGAACUGUCAUAAAAUCCGAUAACAAAAUCUUCAACCGAUGUAUAAGAACCAGAUUCUCGAAAUAUUCCUCGAUUAGAUCAGAGACUGGUUAUCUGGUGGGAAUAAAUCACUGGAAAACGGACUCUAACUAAUUAUCAAGCAAAUCUACUGCAACAUUUGUUUCAUAAUCAAACAGCUAUCAACACAGAAUAAUCUGUUGCCGACAAUCAAAAAAAUACUGUAGAAAUCUAUGGAAUGAUUUAGAAGGAAAAAUUGAUGAUCUUCACUGAAUUGAACUCACUUAUUUAUAGGUGUAAAUCCACAACAAUUUGAAAUAGGAGAUGUAUGGAAUGAGAGGUCUUGGAUGAGUGGGUCGGUGAUAUUAAUGAAAAUAUUAAUUGUAUUUAAUAAAUCUAACAUAGAACAGUAACGCCGCAGUUUUUUCUCAGUGGGAGGAAGAAGAAAC